UACGUAGGCAGCGAGCGUUGUUCGGAAUUACUGGGCGUAAAGAGUGUGUAGGCGGUGCUCUAAGUUCGGUGUGAAAUCUCCCGGCUCAACCGGGAGGGUGCGCCGAAUACUGAGUGACUAGAGUGCGGGAGAGGAAAGUGGAAUUCCUGGUGUAGCGGUGAAAUGCGUAGAUAUCAGGAGGAACACCGGUGGUGUAGACGGCUUUCUGGACCGUAACUGACGCUGAGACACGAAAGCGUGGGUAGCAAACAGG
rnacentral:rRNA from 1 species